rnacentral:rRNA from 1 species
GACGAACGCUGGCGGCGUGCUUAACACAUGCAAGUCGAACGAGACGAUUUAGAAGCUUGCUUUUAUUGAGUCGAGUGGCAAACGGGUGAGUAACGCGUAGACAACCUGCCGCAAAGAUGGGGACAACAGUCCGAAAGGACUGCUAAUACCGAAUGUUGUAUCUCCUCCGCAUGGAAGAGAUAUUAAAGAUGGCCUCUACUUGUAAGCUAUCGCUUUGCGAUGGUCUGCGUCUGAUUAGCUAGUUGGUGGGCAACGGCCUACCAAGGCAACGAUCAGUAGCCGGUCUGAGAGGAUGAACGGCCACAUUGGAACUGAGACACGGUCCAGACUCCUACGGGAGCAGCAGUGGGAAUCUUCCGGCAAUGGGCGAAAGCCUGACGGAGCAACGCCGCGUGAGUGAGAAGGCCUGGUCGUAAGCUCUGUUG